UCAAAGAUUAAGCCAUGCAUGUCUAAGUAUAAGCAACUAUACUGUGAAACUGCGAAUGGCUCAUUAAAUCAGUUAUCGUUUAUUUGAUAGUACCUUUACCUGGAUAACCGUGGUAAUUCUAGAGCUAAUACAUGCUAAAAACCUCGACUUCGGAAGGGGUGUAUUUAUUAGAUAAAAAACCAAUGCCCUUCGGGGCUCCUUGGUGAAUCAUAAUAACUUAACGAAUCGCAUGGCCUUGCGCCGGCGAUGGUUCAUUCAAAUUUCUGCCCUAUCAACUUUCGAUGGUAAGAUAGAGGCUUACCAUGGUCUUAACGGGUAACGGGGAAUUAGGGUUCUAUUCCGGAGAGGGAGCCUGAGAAACGGCUACCACAUCCAAGGAAGGCAGCAGGCGCGCAAAUUACCCAAUCCCGACACGGGGAGGUAGUGACAAUAAAUACUGAUACGGGGCUCUUUUGGGUCUCGUAAUUGGAAUGAGUACAAUCUAAAUCCCUUAACGAGGAACAAUUGGAGGGCAAGUCUGGUGCCAGCAGCCGCGGUAAUUCCAGCUCCAAUAGCGUAUAUUAAAGUUGUUGCCGUUAAAAAGCUCGUAGUUGAACCUUGGGCCUGGCUGACCUGUCCUCCUAAUCGAGCGCACGGGUUCGGUCGGGCCUUUCCUUCUAGGGAACCCCAUGCCCUUCACUGGGUGUGGUGGGGAACUAGGACUUUUACC
rnacentral:rRNA from 1 species